rnacentral:tRNA from 1 species
GGCAAGGCCAUAGCUCAGUUGUAGAGUAUGUGCUUCAUAAGCACAAGGUCACAGGUUCAGUCCCUGAACCUUCCA